CCGGACCUGACUGCUAUCGGAUUGGUACUAAGCCAUGCGAGUCGUUGUAGCAAUACAAGGCGGACGGCUCAGUAACACGUAGUCAACCUAACCUAUGGACGUGGAUAACCUCGGGAAACUGAGAAUAAACCGCGAUAGAUCAUAAUGCCUGGAAUGGCUUAUGGUUAAAAUAAUUUAUUGCCGUAGGAUGGGACUGCGGCCUAUCAGCUUGUUGGUGAGGUAAUGGCCCACCAAGGCUAUAACAGGUACGGGCUCUGAGAGGAGAAGCCCGGAGAUGGGUACUGAGACACGGACCCAGGCCCUAUGGGGCGCAGCAGGCGAGAAACCUUAGCAAUGUGCGAAAGCACGACUAGGUUAAUCCGAGUGAUUUCUGUUGAAGAAAUCUUUUGUCAGCCGUAAAACCACAGACGAAUAAGGGGUGGGCAAGUCUGGUGUCAGCCGCCGCGGUAAUACCAGCACCUCGAGUGGUCAGGAGGUUUAUUGGGCCUAAAGCAUCCGUAGCCGGCUAUGCAAGUCCCCGGUUAAAUCCAACUGCUCAACAGAUGGGCUGCCGGAGAUACUACACAGCUAGGGAGCGGGAGAGGUAGACGGUAUUCUGUGGGUAGGGGUAAAAUCCACUGAUCCAUAGAGGACCACCAGUGGCGAAGGCGGUCUACCAGAACGCGUUCGACGGUGAGGGAUGAAAGCUGGGGGAGCAAACUGGAUUAGAUACCCGGGUAGUCCCGGCUGUAAACGAUGCAAACUCGGUGAUGCAUUGACUUAUGGUCAAUGCAGUGCCGCAGGGAAGCCGUUAAGUUUGCCGUCCGGGAAGUACGGACGCAAGUCUGAACUUAAAGGAAUUGGCGGGGGAGCACCACAAGGGUGAAGCCUGCGGUUCAAUUGGA
rnacentral:rRNA from 1 species